rnacentral:rRNA from 1 species
CCUACGGGGGGCUGCAGUAAGGAAUAUUGGUCAAUGGAGGAAACUCUGAACCAGCCAUCCCGCGUGAAGGAUGAAGGGGCUCUGCCUUGUAAACUUCUUUUGUCUGGUGCGAAAAAGCUCGAUUUAUCGAGAACUGACGGUACCAGAAGAAUAAGCACCGGCUAACUCCGUGCCAGCAGCCGCGGUAAUACGGAGGGUGCCAGCGUUAUCCGGAAUAAAUGGUGUGAAGGGGUGCGUAGGAGUCAUUGUUGAAAUGCUGUGGCUUAACCAUGGAAUUGCCAUUGAUACUGCAGAGCUUGAAUGAGGUUGAGGUUGGCGGAAUGUGACAUGUAGCGGUGAAAUGCUUAGAUAUGUCAUGGAACACCGAUUGCGAAGGCAGCUGACUGGACCUAUAUUGACGCUGAGGCACGAAAGCGUGGGGAGCGAACAGGAUUAGAUACCCCAGUAGUC